rnacentral:lncRNA from 1 species
GUGCCCUGAGAAAUUCCCCAGCUCUCACGUGACGGAGCCAUCAUUGCAUCGUCACUUACCCACCUGGUAGAAUGUUUGGUUGUGUUUCAGUGUGACACUAUACCAGUAAGAGUCCUCUAGACCCUAGGGUCCCACGGAACUUGAGGGAAUAUGCAUAGCCCGAGGGAGCUUACGGCAUAUGUAGCUGAUCCAUCUUCCCUGUUUGCGCUCCUGAGCCUCCAUGAGUUCAUUACGUGGGCUGGCGAGUGGAGUCUCCUUUAAUACCUAAAUCGGUAUAUUUCCCCCUUUGGCUUUUAGUAGAAUUUCUGCCCAUAGGAUCUCCUUUUUUCAGGCUUCAUCUGUGUAGUGUAAGAUUUCCAUUCUGUUGCCUAAGAUUAUUUAGCUGCGGUGCAGCUCAGCCCUAAUUGAGUAUGCUCAUAUAGAGUGUUUGUCUCACAUUUUUUAAAUAGAGCAUUUGAGUGGCUUUUAUCCAAUUAGUGCUAUGAUCUACUUUUGGAUAACUGUAAUAGGAUAAAGUAAAACUCGUUCUGUUGUAAUAAAACAGGUUUUCUCUAAUCAAGGAGCUUGAAAGGAUCUUCCAGUUCAGUGGAUUUCAGACCUUUUUAAUAGUGAAACCUUUCAUUAAAUGAACUUUCCCACAGAGUCCCAGGCUGUAAAUGCCAGUUGAGAUUGAAGUACCCGUGAAGGGCCUAAAGACCUGCCUCUCACUUCUCUUAUUACCAACUCCUAAAAUAACUCCCCAAGUCAUCAUGUUAAACCCACUGCUCUAGUGCAGCGGUGCUGCAGAUGGAAAUGUGGAAAUGGGGCUGUUUUCCCCAGGGCCUCCCUGCUGUGUUCCCUCACACAUCCUCAGUCC